UUUUUUUUUUUUUUUUUUUUGGUCUUUUCUAGGGCCGCACCCUCAGCAUAUGGAGGUUCCCAGGUUAGGGGUCUAAUUGGAGCUGUAGCUGCCGGCCUACAACAGGGCCACAGCAACGUGGGAUCCGAGCCAUAUCUUCGACCUACACCACAACUCAUGGCAACGCCGGAUCCUAAACCCACUGAUCGAGGCCAGGGAUCAAACCCACAACUUCAAGGUUCCUAGUCAGAUUCGUUAACCACUGUACCAUGAGGGGAACUCCCUCAAACACUCUUAAAAUGAGAAGAAACUAUAUAGAAAACCCCCCAAAAGCAUAUUAUAAAGUGUCAUAAAUCAGUUUCUAAUACCACCCACAACUUUUCGUGGACUUUAUUCUCUCUCUUUAUAGGCAAAAGGCUCAGUUUCACUCCAUUUUCUUGUAUGUAUUUAUGGACCAGUACUGAACCAAAGUUGGUGCUCUCCUGGGCCUUUGUAUACAUCAUGAAAACAGAGCAUUCUUCUCCUCAUCUUUUAUACCUACUUAUCUGCUGUAUUAGUUUCCUGUGGUUGCUGUAACGAUUGACCACAAACUGGGUGGUUUAAAACAUUGGAAGUGUAUUCUUUUAUAGUUGCAGAAGCUUAAAGUCUGAAAUCAGUAUCAUUGAGCUGGAAUCUACUCUUGUGAGGCUCUGGGGCAGUUUCCACUCAGAUGAACCCUCUUGUAUGCCUAACCUAUAAACAUGGUGAGAUCAGAAAUGUCUGUGGUUGGAAGUUCCCUUUGUGGCCCAGCAAUUAAUGAUCCUCACUAGGAUCCAUGAAGAUGUGGAUCCUUAACCCACUGAACAAGGCCAGGGAUCGAACCCGAGUCCUCAUCGAUGCUAGUCAGGUCCAUUAACUGCUGAGCCACAACAGGAACUCCGAUGUGUUUUGAUAGAACAAAAAAAAAAAAUUCAAAUGACAGUAGGAGUGUGUAAACACAAAUGCCUCUGGAAUGACUUAGGCAUCGAUCUUAGUAUUUUCUUCCAGUAGCAUUCUCUUCUCAGAUGUGGAAGGAUCCUGCAUUUUUAGAAUCUACUGCCAGAGUUCCCAACACGCUGGUCAGUCUCAAGACUCAAGCAUGACUCAGGGAGGGCUUUGAAAGAAAUGCCUAGUAACUAGAUUAGAAAAUAACUAGGUUUAGGAGUUCCUGCUUAUGCUGUCUGUGGCACUGGGAUACAGUUUCUACACCCUGCACAGUGGGUUAAAGAUCCAUCAUUGCGGCGACUUUGGCUGGGAUUUGAACCCUGGUCCUGGAACUCCAUAUGCCAUGAGGUGGCCAAAAAAUAAAAUAGGUUUAAAGGAAUUCCCUGGUGACCUACCAGUUUGGGACUAGACGUUGUCGCUGUUGUGGCUCAGGUUUGAUUCCUUGCCUAGGAACUGCAUACCAUCAGCAUGGCCAAAAAAAAAAAAAGUUUAAUAAACAAUUAGGAAGCUUUCUUUAAAAUUCUGAAGCACUAUUGGGAGUUCCCGUCGUGGCUCAGCAGUUAACAAACCUGACUGAUUAGUAUCCUGACUAGUAUCUAGGGACUCGGGUUCAAUCCCUGGCGUUGCUCAGUGGGUUAGGGAUCUGGCUUUGCUGUGGGCUGUGGUGUAGUUUGCAGGCUCAGCUCUGAUUCCGCGUUGCUGUGGCUGUGGUGUAGGCUGGCAGCUACAGCUCCAAUUCGACCUCUAGCCUGGGAACCUCCAUAUGGCACGGGUGUGGUCCUAAAGAGACAAAAAUAAAUAAAUAAAUAAAAUUAUCAAGCAUGCUGUGGCACAGUGAGUUAAGGAUCUGACUGCAGUGGCUCAGGUCACUGCAGAGGCAUGGUUUCAAUCCCUGGCCUGGGAAUGUCUAUAUGCCACGGGCAUGGCCAAAAAAAAAUUAUGAAGCAUCAUUAAAAUUAAAAAAAUUUUUUUUGGCAGUGCCCAUGGCAUGUGAAAGUUCCCAGACUAAAGAAUGAACUCAAACCACUGCAGUGACAAUGCUGGAUCCUUAACCCACUCUGCCACAAGAUAAUUCCCAAAAUUAAUGCAUUUAAAGCAUUCUUUUUAGGAGUGCCCAUUGUGGUUCUUUGGCAACGAACCCAGCUGGUAUCCAUGAGGACUCAGGUUAAAUCCCUGGCCUUGCUCAGUGGGUUAAAGAAUUGGCAUUGCUGUGAGCUGUGGUGUAAGUCACUGAUGCACCUCGGAUCUUAAGUUGCUAUGGCUGUGGCCAGCAACUACAGCUCCAAUUUGCCCACUAGCCUGGGAACUUCCAUAUGCUGCACCUGCAGCCCUAAACAAA
rnacentral:lncRNA from 1 species